rnacentral:lncRNA from 1 species
AUAAUUCUUUGUAAGAACUUAAUUAAACUAAAACUAGAAGCAUUAAAACUGCUUUGGAUUUUAGUUAUCUUUUUUUCUUUUAUCUCUUUUCAUUUCUAGCUGUCUCAUCAGCAUAAUGGCUGUAUUGGCAGACAUUAUAAGAAUGAGAUUAUAUAGUGAUGAGGAUGUUACUACUUCCAUAGUGAAGUAUUUAAACUAGGAUGUGAGCUCCUCAGAAACUCAAUGGCUGUAGUGGGAGUCAAGAAUACUCAGCACCGGCUAAAAAAUACACAGCCUUAUGCAGAAUUUGGCCUAAUUCUUUAAUUUCCAGUCUUCAUUUCCAAUUAAAUUGGCUAUAUUUUUUAUUAUUUGCUUGAUUUUUUUUUUUUUUCAGAGGACCUCAUCUUUUACAAUUAAAAUGAGCAAAACGACAUCAUUUUGGCAGGGAAGACACUCAGCACAUCAUGAACUAAAGUGAUUACAGUCUCCCAUCUUGAUAGAAUUAGGGUGCUUCAUAAAUUUUAAAAUAUUUACUUUCACUGUCUGUGCUCAGUACCUUAAGUAAUCUUCCCCUGAAUAUUCUGAAGCUGAAUUACAGUUAUCUUGUAACUUCUUGGCUUUACAGUAAUUUCUGGCUGAAACUUGAAAACAACAACAACAAGCCAAAGAACAGACAAACAAUCGAAACCAUAUUAUUUAGUUAUCCAACCUGUUAAGUCUCUGCAGUGUUUCCAGGAAGAGAUCACCAUAUCUUUUCUUCUAGAAAAGUUUGAUGCGGGGCAAGCAAAACAUACAGUUAAAUUCUGAAGACAGCGAAGUGUUUGAGAAGUCUCCUGUGGGGAAUAUUUCCUCUGGAACACCGGUAUGGCCAAAGGCAUGCUGGUACCAUGCCAUGGAGGCAAGCUGUCAGCUGAAAUCAUCACAGUCACAAACAUCAUCUCAGAUAAAAUCUACUCAAAAGCAUUGCUCCGGUAAGCGGGACCUUGACCAGCCCUAACUGAUUAGAUGGUUCUGGUAUGAGCUCAGAAAAAUACAAUGGGAUGCCUGACCAAGAGCACUGCUAAAUGGGAUAUGGACAAAUCUCUCCUGCUAUGGUAGUUUAGGUAUGUGCAGAAAAGAAAAAAACACAAGUGACCUAUUAACAGCUUCAUAUCUUUAUCUUUGUGUUCAGGUUAGGAGGCUUGAAGGUGAUGGUAACACAGGUCACAAACUGUAAUUGCCUUUAGACAUGGGGAAAAUGACAGAGAUUAGUUAACCCAGGGGAUAUGUGCCUAGCAGGACCAUUGGCAGCUUAUUGUGACAU